rnacentral:rRNA from 1 species
AUUAUUAGUUAUUUACUUGAAAUCUAAAUUAUAUGGCGGUGUUUUUUCUAUUCAGAGGAACCUGUUUCGUAAUUGAUAGUCCACGAUUUAAUUUACUUUAAAUUUUAGUUUGUAUAUCGUUGUGAUUGAUUAUUUUAAUAGAAUUAAUAAUGAUUAAUAUUUUUGAUUAAAUUUAAAUCAAAUCAAGAUGCAGCUUAUAUUAAAGAGAUUAAUGGGUUACAUUGAAGGUAUUUUUGGUUUAUUAUUUUUGAUUUUAAUAAUAAAUUGGAUUUGAAAGUAAUAUUAUUUAAAUAUUUUGUAUAAUAAAGAUCUAAAACAUGU